GUAUCUUGAAGCCUACUUCAGAGUUUAAUUAUUUCUUAUUCACAUGAACCUCCCCCUUAUGGAGAAGAUGGCAAACAGCUGUCGAACAUGGUUACACUCAAUUGAUUUUCUUAGGGAUGUAAUACCUCCAAACCAGUACUGCCAUAUUCCUUAUUGCCAAGUCUUCCAGCAGCAAAUAAAAAUCAUGCAUCUGUUCUUCCUUUCCAUUUUAUCUUUGCUAUUGAAACACACUGGCAGCAGAGAAGUUUUAUUUGGUCAUAAUAAUUUCACAGAAUAUCAAGUGGGCAACAUGAACCUGAUCCUCUCUGUCCCACAUGGUGGGUCAAUGGAACCUGAAGACAUCCCUGAUCGAGAGGCUGGCUGUUGGGAUGCAGAGACAUCUUCUUGUAUUUUCUCUCAUGACUGUCCUCCUGGAAGCAUUCAAGACUAUAAGAACUGCAAAGUGUCUACCAACCAAGACAGGUAUACCAUAGAAGUGGCUCAGGUUCUUGCUGAAGAAAUCAACAAGAUUACUGAUGGCUUCUUCCCACAUAUCGUUAUAAAUCACCUACAGAGGUUCAAGAUGGAUGCUAACAGGGAAAAGGAAGAAGCUGCCUUUGGAAUUCCCCAAGCAGAACAGGCCUGGGAGGAUUAUAUGGGAUUUUUGACCACUGCAAAAUCACUGAUGACAAGGGGCCUGAUUCUAGAUAUCCAUGGACAAGCACAUCCUGAACAGUGGAUAGAACUAGGCUACACAGUUUCAAAAACUUCCCUUAACUCUGGUGUCUUUUCUGCGUCAUGUUCCUCCAUUAGAUAUCUGGCCAAUCAGCUAGUUAGCGUGUCUUUUGAGACUCUGCUUGCAGGGAACAGAAGUUUGGGUAAAUAUAUUGAAGAACAAAAUAACAGUUAUGUUUGUGUGCCUUCUCCAUCCAAUCCUAGCCCCAGUAAUGGGAACUAUUAUAGUGGUGGAUACAUAACAAAGACUUUUGGCUCCCGUGAUUCUGGUGCCGUUGAUGCCAUUCAGAUGGAGCUACCCCAGUGGGUUAGGGCACCUGAAGAGCGUCUCAGAUUCUGUAAAGCAUUAGCAAGAGCUGUAAUGAAAUUCUGGCAAACUAAUUACUGUAGCCAGUCCAACCAUGAAUUUCUGCCAUGCUGA
rnacentral:lncRNA from 1 species